UUCACUGCGUGCAAAAACGACACCGUAUCUUUUGCCCUAACUUUCCUUUCGUCCCCAAAUUUCCAUACCGAAUUUAGAUUUCGACUACAAUGAUCUGAGGCUCAGUUGCAGAGUGGAGUAUUUAUUGGCUGAAUUAACUUCCGAUUCCAUUGAAAUGCACGCAGCAGCUCUUGCAUCGAGACCAGAAGUUGGUUCGUCCAUAAAAAUAAUCGAAGGGUUCGCCACAAGCUCUACUGCUAUGGUAAGCCUUUUCCUCUGCUCAGUCGAAAGCCCAGUUACUCCGGGCAAUCCAACUAACGAACCUCUCAGCGGUGCAGUCUCAACCAAGCUGAGUAAACGAGGGACUCGUAAACUGUGACAUUGGGAGAAUGAAUAUCGUUUUGUUCACAAUAUCCGGAUAUUCUU